AUGAACGCUAGCGGCAGGCUUAACACAUGCAAGUCGAGGGGUAUAGUUCUUCGGAGCUAGAGACCGGCGCACGGGUGCGUAACGCGUAUGCAAUCUACCUUUUACAGAGGGAUAGCCCAGAGAAAUUUGGAUUAAUACCUCAUAGUAUUAUAGAAUGGCAUCAUUUUAUAAUUAAAGUCACAACGGUAAAAGAUGAGCAUGCGUCCCAUUAGCUAGUUGGUAAGGUAACGGCUUACCAAGGCGACGAUGGGUAGGGGUCCUGAGAGGGAGAUCCCCCACACUGGUACUGAGACACGGACCAGACUCCUACGGGAGGCAGCAGUGAGGAAUAUUGGUCAAUGGACGCAAGUCUGAACCAGCCAUGCCGCGUGCAGGAUGACGGUCCUAUGGAUUGUAAACUGCUUUUGUACAGGAAGAAACCCUACUUCGUGAAGUAGAUUGACGGUACUGUAAGAAUAAGGAUCGGCUAACUCCGU
rnacentral:rRNA from 1 species